rnacentral:lncRNA from 1 species
UAACUGCCAGAAUUGUGUUGAUCUUCACAUCUUGAGCAUCCACUACUUCGCCUGUUUCUGCUAGAAUGGCAUUUUGUGGUGCCAUCCUCAUCAGCGUUGACAUCCCAACGGUGGCCUGGAGGUUAGAAAUUUAGCUGUUUUGUUCUGAAACUUACCAUCCCAGAGUACAUGUCUAAUAAUUUUGCCCCAUGAACAUUGUUGUUUGUCUUACAACCACUGUUCUAGUGUUCCCUAAGAUUUCGCUUUUCCUUUCUUUUUGAGGUCUACAUCUCCCUUGAGAUGAUCGACAAAAAAUUUAUAUAAAAGAAAAAAUGAAGAAAAAAAAAGUGCAUUGAUGGGCUAUCAAAUUGUUCAUCGAGAUUACAUGGACCAAAAUAGCUCUUUUUAGUGCUUGAGUUAGCAAAAGUCUAUGAAAAUACUAUUAACAUGUUUCACUCUAUAAUAGCUUCUUUAUCUUUUAGUAUUCCAAGUCUGUGUCAUUGUGCCAGAGGUUUUAGCUGAUUCUGACUCUUAUUUUUUCCUUUCCAGGUAACUUAGGUUCAAACAAGUUUCAUAAGUUCCUUUGGCAGGCUCAUAUAUUGUUCAGUGAUGACACAGGAAGCAUUUUGUGGUCAGUGUCUCCAAACCUCUCAAGUAGUCCCCAAACUUGCACCAUACUUUCACUGCAAAUCUAUACAUUCACUUGAUUGCAUUGAAUGUGUAGAAAAGUAUUGGUGUGAAUCAGACUCCAGCCAGAUGGUUUUGAUGAACUGUAUCUGACUGGUAGCUUUUCUGUUUGCCCUACCAUCUUCUUUUCAUCCUGCAUCUCAUCCAUAGGUCUAUAUUGGUAAAUGACCCAAUAAAUGAUGUGGGGUUGGGUUUCCUACUAUGUCACUUCUGACCCAGCACCACAAAAUCCUCGAAUUGUGUGCUCACAGUCAUAUUAGGAUGAAAUAUAUAUAUAUAUAUAUAUAUAUAUAUAUA